UACGUAGGGGGCAAGCGUUGUCCGGAUUUAUUGGGCGUAAAGAGCGUGUAGGCGGUUAUACAGGUCCGCUGUGAAAACUGGAGGCUUAACCUCCAGACGUCGGUGGAAACCGUAUAACUAGAGUCCGGAAGAGGAGAGUGGAAUUCCUGGUGUAGCGGUGAAAUGCGCAGAUAUCAGGAAGAACACCCGUGACGAAGGCGGCUCUCUGGGACGGUACUGACGCUGAGACGCGAAAGCGUGGGGAGCGAACAGG
rnacentral:rRNA from 1 species